rnacentral:rRNA from 1 species
GACGAACGCUGGCGGCGUGCUUAACACAUGCAAGUCGAACGGUAAGGCCCUUCGGGGUACACGAGUGGCGAACGGGUGAGUAACACGUGGGUGAUCUGCCCUGCACUUCGGGAUAAGCCUGGGGAACUGGGUCUAAUACCGGAUAGGACUCCGGACUGCAUGGUCUGGGGUGGAAAGCUUUUGCGGUGUGGGAUGGGCCCGCGGCCUAUCAGCUUGUUGGUGGGGUGAUGGCCUACCAAGGCGACGACGGGUAGCCGGCCGGGGAGGGUGACCGGCCACACUGGGACUGAGAUACGGCCCAGACUCCUACGGGAGGCAGCAGUGGGGAAUAUUGCACAAUGGGCGCAAGCCUGAUGCGGCGACGCCGCGUGAGGGAUGACGGCCUUCGGGUUGUAAACCUCUUUCAGCAUCGACGAAGCGAAAGUGACGGUAGGUGCAGAAGAAGGACCGGCCAACUACGUGCCAGCCGCCGCCGUAA